rnacentral:rRNA from 1 species
UACGUAGGGUGCGAGCGUUUGUCCGGAAUUACUGGGCGUAAAGAGCUCGUAGGCGGCUUGUCGCGUUGUUCGUGAAAAUUUACCGCUCAACGGUGAACUUGCGGGCGAUACGGGUAGGCUAGAGUACUGCAGGGGAGACUGGAAUUCCUGGUGUAGCGGUGAAAUGCGCAGAUAUCAGGAGGAACACCGGUGGCGAAGGCGGUUCUCUGGGCAUUACCUGACGGCUGAG